ensembl:lincRNA
AUGUUUUCCCUUGUAGGACUAAAAUUGAAGGUUGUUUUUCUUAGAGAAAAUCACUUAUUGUAUUUAUUUGAUCAAGGAUUAGAAGACUUAUAUGUAAUAAGAACUUCACUCCUUGAAGACUUGAAGAUUAUUGAAAUGAAAGGGGGAGUCUCAAUUUUCAAAAUAAUAUUUUUUUGAUCAUGUAUAAAUCCUAAUUUGAAUUGUUCUUUAAAUUAUAUCCACACAUUGUUCUACCUUUACUGAGUAAUUCAGUCUUGAAACUAGCACUGUUUGAGACAAGUUUUGUUUUUAUUUGAUCCAGGACAAAACUUGAUUAAUUUAUGGUCAACUAUUAAAAGAUUAAAAAUUGACUUUUGUAAAAUGAUUAUUUUCUUUUUCAGUACAGUAGUCUUAAUAGGCACAAGUAUUAGUUACCAAAGUAUUAACUGAAAAUAGUUAUAUAAAUUUUGCUGCUAGUUCUUCAGUUCACAAAUUAUUUUGCAAAUAAAAGAUGUACAUCAUGAUCAGUGACCACUCACUUCUUUUAAAGUCUGAUGGUGAUUAUUUACUAAUAAUUUAUUCAGUCCUUGCACUGAUAGCAAAGUGCAUAGUUUUACUGCUUUUUUGUAUCCCAGAGACUGAACUCUUUUACAAAAAUGGAUAAUCAAAAGAAGGAAUUGGUCGAUAAAGGUGACAGUGUAGCAAAGAAAUGAAAAUGGAUAAUGCUAGAAGUAAAAGUGGGUGUGAUUAGAAGAUUUGAAAGUGUCAGCUGCAAAGCAAAGCCUGCAAGAAGCUACAAUGUGAACUGCAUUGAAUAUAUAGUUAGUUGUCAUCAUAUCUUAAUUUAAUUUGUGCUACUAACAGAAAGCCAUUUACAGUCAAAAUUGAAGACUAAUCAAAAACAGAUCCCAGUUUGGCUAGCUAGCAUUCAGGCCCAAGCACUGUUGUUAGCUGUUGCAAUGAAAGAAAAUAAUUAACAAUGAAACUGAAAAUAAAAAUUUUACUGCCAGUAAAGCUGGAUUCAUUAUUUCAGGAGUCAACAUGAAUUGGUUAAUGCUAAUCUACUUGGUUAAGUUGCAAACUCAGAUAAAGGCACUACUAUGAAAUUUGUACCCAGAUUCCCAGAUACAAGUAGUCCUACUUACUGUAGGACUCCAUUGAGUCCACCUUGUAGGAUUUCAAUGCAGUGUUAUAGUAGAGUGGGCUGGGAAGGAAUUUGAUACUGCUGCUGUUGAAGAGCCAGUUGAAGAAAAGCCAGAUGAACUUAGUGAAGGUGAACCUCUUGGCAUGAGUGAUAGAAGUGGUUGUGACAUAAAAGAUGAACAUACCUCAGAGGAAGUGAUGCCAGCAAAAACCCUUCACAUCAAAUUCUCAGAGAUACUUAAUGACCUUGAAAGGGAAACGUGUAAAAUUUGUGGUUCCUAUGUCAAGGCAUAGGAAAGAUGUUCAGUGCUUAUUGUAAAUAAUAUGAAGUCAAGUGCUAUUAAAACUACUCUUGAUAAAUUAUUUACAUUUUUAAAAAACUAAUUUUCAGCUUCUAAUGUUUUUAAUUAUAGUGAAUUAAAUGGUAGUUUUACAAAAAAGUUGCAGGGUAAUAUUUUUGCAUUUAAAAUAAAUAUCAAGAAUUUAA